CCGGCUAGCUCAAUCGGUAGAGCGUGAGACUCUUAAUCUCAAGGUUGUGGGUUCGACCCGUAAGUAGAA
rnacentral:tRNA from 2 species